rnacentral:rRNA from 1 species
CCUACGGGAGGCAGCAGUGAGGAAUAUUGGUCAAUGGACGCAAGUCUGAACCAGCCAUGCCGCGUGCAGGAAGACGGCUCUAUGAGUUGUAAACUGCUUUUGUACGAGGGUAAACGCAGAUACGCGUAUCUUUCUGAAACUAUCGUACGUAUAAGGAUCGGCUAACUCCGUGCCAGCAGCCGCGGUAAAACGGAGGAUUCAAGCGUUAUCCGGAUUUAUUGGGUUUAAAGGGUGCGUAGGCGGUCGGAUAAGUUAGAGGUGAAAUCCCGAGGCUCAACUUCGGAAGUGCCUCUGAUACUGUUCGGCUAGAGAGUAGUUGCGGUAGGCGGAAUGUAUGGUGUAGCGGUGAAAUGCUUAGAGAUCAUACAGAACACCGAUGGCGAAGGCAGCUUACCAAGCUACUUCUGACGUUGAGGCACGAAAGCGUGGGGAGCAAACAGGAUUAGAUACCCCUGUAGUC